GUGCUUAACACAUGCAAGUCGAGUGCGCGUCCCGGUAGCAAUACCGGGAUGGCGCACGGCGCACGGGUGCGUAACACGUGGGCAAUCUGCCCUCCGAUGGGGAAUAACCCCGCGAAAGCGGGGCUAAUACCGCAUAACAUUCCGAGGACUUCGGUUCUUGGACUCAAAGACGUAAGUCGUCGGAGGUGGAGCCCGCGCCCGAUUAGCUAGUUGGUAGGGUAACGGCCUACCAAGGCAAUGAUCGGUAGCUGGUCUGAGAGGAUGGCCAGCCACACUGGAACUGAGACACGGUCCAG
rnacentral:rRNA from 1 species